rnacentral:rRNA from 1 species
ACGGAGGGUGCAAGCGUUAUCCGGAUUCACUGGGUUUAAAGGGUGCGUAGGCGGGCAGGUAAGUCAGUGGUGAAAUCUCAGAGCUUAACUCUGAAACUGCCAUUGAUACUAUCUGUCUUGAAUUCUCUGGAGGUGAGCGGAAUAUGUCAUGUAGCGGUGAAAUGCUUAGAUAUGACAUAGAACACCCAUUGCGAAGGCAGCUCACUACGGAGUCAUUGACGCUGAGGCACGAAAGCGUGAGGAUCAAACAGGA